UUAAUUGAAACCAAAAAGAGGUAUAUCACUGUUGAUGAUAAAAUUGAAUAAGAAUUCCAAUUAAA
rnacentral:tRNA from 1 species